UACGUAGGGUGCGAGCGUUAAUCGGAAUGACUGGGCGUAAAGGGUGCGCAGGCGGUUGGUCAAGACGGAUGUGAAAGCCCCGGGCUUAACCUGGGAGUGUCAUUCGUGACUGACGAACUAGAAUAUGGCAGAGGGAGGCGGAAUUCCACAUGUAGCAGUGAAAUGCGCAGAUAUCAGGAGGAACACCGGUGGCGAAGGCGGUUCUCUGGGCCUUACCUGACGCUGAGGAGCGAAAGCGUGGGGAGCAAACAGG
rnacentral:rRNA from 1 species